CUUUUCUACGUUUCAUGGCUCUCACUCUCUAGUACCUUAUCUCGAUUUCUUCAACUUCCAAUUCAACUAUCGGAAGUAAAUUGAUGCGGUAAUGUGGUGUGGUGUGGGCGAUGGAGGAGAUGGAGAUAUUGUAAAGAGGAAUUCCGGGAAAAACAGAAUUGCAGCAGAAGCAGAUGGAAAAGAGGAGUUGGAGAUGGAAAAAUGCAUGGAAGGGGGGGGAGAUUCGUGAAUCGGGACAGAACAAGCCAUAAAAAGCACCAUUUUUCGCCGGUGAGAUCUAAAUUUUUCCUCUGCCGUGUGGGAUCCUGAUGGAUGUGACUACUAAGCUUUCCCUGCCAUUUCGAUGCGAUGGGAAUGGGAAUGGCUCCAAAAUUUCGCCUAAAAUCCCCAAUUACAGGUCACAUCACUUCAAUUUCUAAACUCACUUUACUGUUCAUUCCCUAUUUUCCAAUCCAAUUCCAUUUUUCCCAAACCCUAGUUUUUCUUUUAAGCGAAUUCCAAUCACAUUCCUUACGUUUUAUCUGUAUGUUAAUGCAUAUGGUCUUCUGUAAUCUGUGAUACGAAGAUAAGUAGUAAUCAAAUAGUUGGUUUCCUAAUAGGAAUAGAUAUGAAGAUGACUUGAAUUGAAUUGAAUUGAAUUGAAGAGAGUGGAGUUAUAACAACACAUGCUAUAGUCUAUAGCUAUGAAUGUGGUACGUGUUUUUUAAUAUAUAUUGACACACACACACACAGGUAGUAGUACUAUAUAUAGUACCAGACAUUAGUCUUUUCUUCUGCAAAAGCAUCAGAAAUUACCAAAUCAUCAUGUGCACACAAAAGAGGAUUUUGAAAAGAGUUGGGUUAUAAUUGUAAAGAGGCGGAGGUGGGCUACAAGCCAGAAGUUAGCAAAAACUUAAUUAAAGAGAGCAUAAUUGUAGAAGUAGAACUAGAAAGAAACAGACUAGGUAGGGUGGUGAAGUGGAGACUUCAUUGUGUUUAAUAUUUGUUGCUUAAUUGGUUAUGGGUUUGGCAGAGUGGCUGGUUUGUCUGCCUCUUUUGUAGUUAGGCGCCCAAGAUGGGGUAAAUAUUUUAAAUACAGGCAAUGUUAGGUCUUUUCUGUAUGUCAAAUCUUCCGGUCAUUUCAUAUUUCCCUUUUUCUCCACUGCUUUAGAUUUCAUCAAUCAUCCAAAUCCACUCUCCUUACUCGUCAUUUAUUGGAUCUUUCAAUUCCUUUCUUUUCUUUAAUUUGCUUUGUUUAAUGAUCUUUUUGGUUACAGAUUGUCCAUCUUUUUAAGAAAAUUACAUAAAGGUUGUCUCACUCUCUCAGAUGUGUUUGUUUUCUCGACUUGUUUUUGGAUUUUUUUUUUUUUUUGAAAAAUAUCAGGAGAAGUAAGUAUGUGCAGAUAGAUAUUACGAGCUUGUUUAGAUUUUUAUCUGAAAAAGAAAAAGGGAUUACCUUUGCUUUUCGAAUAAAUAAAGGUGAUGUGAUUUGAAAAUUAAUCCUUAUAUCCGUGAUUUGUGAUUUCAAUUAAUUUUAACGAGACAUACAAUCACAACUUAAGAACAUUUUGUAUUAAACAGAAAAUAGAAUUGGGGGCAGCAGGGGUGCACAAUAUAUUGUUGCACCAAGGUUUUUCCUAUUUUAAAUUGCUUUCAUUUCCUCCAUUGAAAAGAAAUGCUUUGUUAUCCGUUAACUUUAGAAUAAUGGAGGGUGAUGUAGUUUGAAAAUCAUUCUAUUUGGUAUUUGUGAUUUCAUAUUAUCUAAAUCUUUACGUUGAAACAUAUAUAUAUAUUUUUUUUUGUUUAUAAAGAUUUAGUUAAUGUAGUUUCAAUUUAAUUCUUAAACUUUAUUUUAUAAUAAUUUAGUUAUUUUAUUUAAAUUGGUAACAAUUUUGUCCAUAUAUUAGAAAUUUAUGUUAAGUAAUUAGAUUCCUUUUUCUAAAUAAACCAAUAACAAAUUAGAAAAUCACUAAAUUAAAUGAUUAAAUUAUUAAAAACGGAACAAUUAUUGGACACUUUGUUGGUCUCUUUUAACUUAUUUGGUAACAAUUUAACAAUCCAACUUUAUCAAAAAAAAAAAAAAAAAAAAAAAGAGUUUUUUUGUAACAGUGACGUUCCUUAAUUUUAGAAUAAUUGAGGAUAAUGUCGUAUGAAAAAUAAUUUUAUCUCCGAUUUGUGAUUUCAAAUUAUCUGAACUUUUACAAGUUACACAACCUGUGAUACAUUUCUUAAAUAGAAAAUAGAAGCCUGCUGUUUUCUUAUUGAACACAUAUAAAAACAAGCCCUCCCUCUCAGCAAUCUUAUUUUAGAAACUCAGAAAUGAAGGCCAACCGGAGAAAAAAAUUUCAUUAUCUAAGGAAACUCUCAUUCCACAAAGACGUUUGAUUUCAGUUUAACACACAAUUUACAUUAAUAUCUAUUAAAACGAUCCUCAGCCCCGCCCCCCCGCAGUUUGACACAACUCUUUCUGUAGGACCUGCCUGUGCUUUGGAAGAGCUUGCUCGAUCAUGAAGAGAGGAGGAAGGAUGGCAGAUGACAAAAAUAUAUUUCACUUAAGCUCUCGCUUCCCCAGCAGCUCACAGCCCUAAGUUGCAAUUCCAAAAAACUUUCCCAUGAAGGAAAAAAAAAUAUACGUAUUGCCAGCAUGGUAGCUAGCUGCUUACCGAGUUAGUAAACCUAAACCAACUGAUUUCCAUUUGCUUUGUCCUGUAUUGUAACUUUCACUUUUUGUUCAGUAGGUUGGCCAAGUUUCGCAGAUCCUCAAAUGCAUGCAUUGUUUCAGCAUCGAACCCUCCUGCAAACUGUAGCCGUGAAAGGCAAAAGAAAAAAAUAAACACACACACACACAUUCAGCAAUAAUCCUUGUGUUUUCCUGAAGAAAAAUGCAGUGAACGAAAGCUUAUUAACCAAUUGGUACCUGAUGAAUUCUAAAGGCAAAUCUCACUCCUUGAAGAAGCAUGUAAUCCAUUGCGGGAUCUUUCUCCGAUGAAGCCUUUGAUUGAAGUUCCGUUGCUACUCUCUUCAUGUACAUUUUUGCCAACUUCACCGAACCCAACUUUAUCUACAACAUAGAGUUAAUACAUCAUAGAUUGCUGUUAUUCAGAAAUUAUCCAGCAAUAACAACACAUCUUAUUGACUCUUCAAACUGCUUA